GGUAAAUUCCCUUACGAGACAACUGUGUAAUAAUAUUUAGUAUGUAAUAUGUAUAUGUAUGUACGUAUCAUCACCGAGGACGCCAACUUCUGCUCAAUAAACUACUCCGUCUUUUUACUUUGACACAAUCACAUGGAUUUUUAGUCUCCGAUUCUAAAUACUAAAUAUUUUUUUAUAAAUAAUUUUAAGAAAAACUCCGUUUCAGGGAUGAACUUGAACUAUUUUAUCUAGUAGAGAUCUUCGUUUAUCAAAUUUACCAAUUUGUAAAGCCUGAUGAAAGAUUAUGAAACCGGUCGCCACUGAAAAUUUACUCCAAUAAACAAAUCUUUCCAUUAGUUUGAAGUGCUUUAUUUCAUUCAACAUGUAACUACGACUUUUAUUAAUUUUUUUGUUUACAGGAGUACAUCAAAAAUCCUCCCGUUUUUGAGCAGUAUGUUAAUCCGCCGGAAGACAAUAUUUGUCUUGGUAUGGGAAGUGGUGGACGAAAUUUGAACCCGAAUAUUUUGACUCUUUUCAUUCAUUCCACUCUUGUUCAUUAUGCGGAUCUAAAUAAGUAAUUUGUAAAAUAAUUUUAUGCUCCUUGACAUACGUGUAAUCAAGAAUGCACACACAUUUACAUAAUAAGCAUAUGUAUAAAUUGUAUUACCAUUUUGUGCGUGUACUUACAUACGUACCUUCUGUACAAACUUACGUGCAAGCAACUGUGAUACACACUUUACAUAAUCAAAAACAAAUAUGAAUACGUACAUAUAAUUGUUAUUUCCGGAAUAAUAAAAACCAAUAUAAUGUAAGAAAUCAUUAUUAUCCUUCAAACUAAAUAUUGAAGGAAAUACAUACUUUUUUAUAAUCCGUGUGUUCAGUUUUACUUCAAACUUCGAAUUUAUGCAUGUAUGCACAUAAAUUGGACUUGUUCUUCGUUCGGAAUGGUUGUGAUUCACAACUUGUGAAUGUACGAAAGAUAGUGGGUGGGGGUUAACUUGAAAAAGUAUGUAUUAUAUACCUGACGAUUUAGUCAAGUAGGCAUGAGAAUUGCAUA